rnacentral:rRNA from 1 species
UACGUAGGGUGCGAGCGUUGUCCGGAAUUAUUGGGCGUAAAGAGCUCGUAGGCGGUGUGUCACGUCGGCCGUGAAAACCUGCAGCUUAACUGUGGGCGUGCGGUCGAUACGGGCAUCACUGGAGUUCGGCAGGGGAGACUGGAAUUCCUGGUGUAGCGGUGAAAUGCGUAGAGAUCAUGAGGAAGACCAGUGGCGAAGGCGGGUCUCUGGACAGUUCCUGACACUGAGACACGAAGGCCAGGGGAGCAAACGGG